GACGAACGCUGGCGGCGUGCCUAAUACAUGCAAGUAGAACGCUGAAGGAGGAGCUUGCUCUUCUGGAUGAGUUGCGAACGGGUGAGUAACGCGUAGGUAACCUGCCUGGUAGCGGGGGAUAACUAUUGGAAACGAUAGCUAAUACCGCAUAACAGUAGAUGUUGCAUGACAUUUGCUUAAAAGGUGCAAUUGCACCACUACCAGAUGGACCUGCGUUGUAUUAGCUAGUUGGUGGGGUAACGGCUCACCAAGGCGACGAUACAUAGCCGACCUGAGAGGGUGAGAGGCAAAACUGGGACUGAGACACGGCCAAGACUACUACGGGAGGCAGCAGUAGGGGAUCUUCGGCAAUGGACGGAAGUCGGACCGAGCAACGCCGCGUGAGUGAAGAAGGUUGUAGGAUCGUAAAGCUCUGUUGUAAGAGAAGAACGAGUGUGAGAGUGGAAAGUGCACACUGUGACGGUAUCUUAACAGAAAGGGACGGCUAACUACGUG
rnacentral:rRNA from 1 species